UACGUAGGGUGCAAGCGUUGUCCGGAAUUAUUGGGCGUAAAGGGCGCGUAGGCGGUGCCACAAGUCACCUGUGAAAUCUCCGGGCUUAACUCGGAGCCUGCAGGCGAAACUGUGGUGCUGGAGUGUGGGAGAGGUGCGUGGAAUUCCCGGUGUAGCGGUGAAAUGCGUAGAUAUGCGGAGGAACACCGAUGGCGAAGGCAUCCCCUGGGCCUGCACUGACGCUCAUGCACGAAAGCGUGGGGAGCAAACAGG
rnacentral:rRNA from 1 species